UCUUCGCUACUGUAAUCGAAGAGACAAAUAAAAGUUAUUAUUAUAUUUUGAUUCAAAUAGAAUCUACUAAAGAUAGAAGUAUGUUCAUACAGAACCUGUGGUUGUGAUUGGAGUUGUAUGGAUGCAUUUCUUCCCACUUGAAGCCAUGGAGUAAAUUCCUACUAUAGCUACUGCCAGCACAAGUACAAACACCACACAGGUCUUUUUGCUGAAGCCAUAACUUUUAUUUAGUCUACCAAAGCUGUUCUGGUAAUUUCUACUUCGAGAACCAAGAUUUUGCAACUUAUUCAGAGUACAGUAUGCAUCUCCAUAGGACUUUACUCAAGAAAUAUAAACACAAACAAAAUAUGGGAUUCAGGUGCCAAUGGGAUCCAAUCUUACCCCACAGUAUACUUACCCACAAAGGACUUAUUACUCAUAGAAGGACUUCAAAAAGUUGUUUGAAAUAUAGUUAUCAGAAAGUGGACAGGUAAGUUUCACUAUUUAUAUACACUGGGGAUUUAUGAAACCUUGUUUCAGUAGCACUAUGUAAAAUCUCAUGCACUUAAACCAAUCCGGCAUAGUGGUUGGAGCAAUUGCCUUUGGACCCAAUGGUAAUGGAUAGAUGGAAUCUUGUAGUAGCAAAAGUCCUACUUGCAUAAACAGAGUGGAUUAUUGCACACAUAACUAUAGGUAGAUGAUUUUAUUUUUUCUGAAAGGAUGACAACUUGGAAAACCACAUUACUGUUAAGUUUUUUCUACUAGCAAACGUACAUCAACACAAUUAAGUAUGGAAUACAAUGUCAUGUUCUUAUAGUUAUAACUAUGUAUAUAUAACAUAUUACUAUGUAUAUAUAAAAAGUAUGGAAUACAAUGUCAUGUUCU